GAUUAUCUGUGACAUCCUUAAGAUUUAAAAUAAUUGUAUCUAUAAGGUAUAGUAAAGCUAAACUUCUUAAACCAACUGUAAUAUUUUGAACGGUUAAGAGCGUUAAACGAGUCAAGAGGUAGAGAGUAGUUUUAGGAUGGAUGAAGUUUCCAAAAAGUGGCACAUUACAGUUGAUUUGGAGUCGAUCACUAGUCAGAAGUAUGAGAUAAGUCUUAACUGAGCCGGGGUUACACAGCUGGCAGGAGCACAGCUUUCUGACUGACGACAGUAUUGGGAGAAGCUUGGCUCUCCAAAAGAUUGGCUAAGGCUAAAAAGAUAAAUCUCAUAUCGCCUGACGCUUAUGAGCAUCUCUACAUAAAAAAGCCAGGGUUUAAAGAGGAAAAAAUAUGACAACUGUCAAAUUUAGAAUAGUGAUAAAAAGG
rnacentral:lncRNA from 1 species